GCUUACGGCCACACCGGCCUGAGUACGCCUGAUCUCGUCCGAUCUCGGAAGCUAAGCAGGGUCGGGCCUGGUUAGUAUUUGGAUGGGAGACCGCCUGGGAAUACCAGGUGCUGUAAGCU
rnacentral:rRNA from 1 species